rnacentral:rRNA from 1 species
GACGAACGCUGGCGGCGUGCUUAACACAUGCAAGUCGAACGGAAAGGCCCUGCUUUUGUGGGGUGCUCGAGUGGCGAACGGGUGAGUAACACGUGAGUAACCUGCCCUUGACUUUGGGAUAACUUCAGGAAACUGGGGCUAAUACCGGAUAGGAGCUCCUGCUGCAUGGUGGGGGUUGGAAAGUUUCGGCGGUUGGGGAUGGACUCGCGGCUUAUCAGCUUGUUGGUGGGGUAGUGGCUUACCAAGGCUUUGACGGGUAGCCGGCCUGAGAGGGUGACCGGCCACAUUGGGACUGAGAUACGGCCCAGACUCCUACGGGAGGCAGCAGUGGGGAAUAUUGCACAAUGGGCGGAAGCCUGAUGCAGCAACGCCGCGUGCGGGAUGACGGCCUUCGGGUUGUAAACCGCUUUCGCCUGUGACGAAGCGUGAGUGACGGUAAUGGGUAAAGAAGCACCGGCUAACUACGUGCCAGCAGCCGCGGUGAUACGUAGGGUGCGAGCGUUGUCCGGAUUUAUUGGGCGUAAAGGGCUCGUAGGUGGUUGAUCGCGUCGGAAGUGUAAUCUUGGGGCUUAACCCUGAGCGUGCUUUCGAUACGGGUUGACUUGAGGAAGGUAGGGGAGAAUGGAAUUCCUGGUGGAGCGGUGGAAUGCGCAGAUAUCAGGAAGAACACCAGUGGCGAAGGCGGUUCUCUGGGCCUUUCCUGACGCUGAGGAGCGAAAGCGUGGGGAGCGAACAGGCUUAGAUACCCUGGUAGUCCACGCUGUAAACGGUGGGUACUAGGUGUGGGGUCCAUUCCACGGGUUCCGUGCCGUAGCUAACGCUUUAAGUACCCCGCCUGGGGAGUACGGCCGCAAGGCUAAAACUCAAAGGAAUUGACGGGGCCCCGCACAAGCGGCGGAGCAUGCGGAUUAAUUCGAUGCAACGCGUAGAACCUUACCUGGGUUUGACAUGGAUCGGGAGCGCUCAGAGAUGGGUGUGCCUCUUUUGGGGUCGGUUCACAGGUGGUGCAUGGCUGUCGUCAGCUCGUGUCGUGAGAUGUUGGGUUAAGUCCCGCAACGAGCGCAACCCUUGUUCACUGUUGCCAGCACGUUAUGGUGGGGACUCAGUGGAGACCGCCGGGGUCAACUCGGAGGAAGGUGGGGAUGACGUCAAGUCAUCAUGCCCCUUAUGUCCAGGGCUUCACGCAUGCUACAAUGGCUGGUACAGAGAGUGGCGAGCCUGUGAGGGUGAGCGAAUCUCGGAAAGCCGGUCUCAGUUCGGAUUGGGGUCUGCAACUCGACCUCAUGAAGUCGGAGUCGCUAGUAAUCGCAGAUCAGCAACGCUGCGGUGAAUACGUUCCCGGG